GCUGUCAAUAGCACCCCUCCCCCUCCCCGCUGGCGCGCGCUCCACCCCCUCCCCGCUAGCGCGCGCUCCCGCGCUAGCAACCCAACCGCCACUCACGGGGGGGGGAAGGGGGGAAUGUCACCCAGAGCCCCAGACCCUGGGGAGAGAGACAGUCAUUCACCAUCAGCCCCAUGGACUUGUCAAGAUUAGUUUCAAGGGGCAGUGGCACAGCAAACUUCUCCACAGUGCCCUGCCAAUGAGCUUCAACCCUGAACUGAAGAGAAAACAUUUAAUGGUCUGGGGAGAGGCUAAGUGGGAGUGGAAGAGAAGCAGGAAGUUACAGAGAAAGUGGUGAAGUGCAGUGCAUUCUAUAGGCCUGUCGCCUGUUAACUGCAGUCUUGGUGAAUAUCAAAAAAAGGUGUGUGAAGGAGCUUUCAUUAUUGUAAUUUCUACAUAAGUCCAGAUCCUGCAGUUGACUCUGUGUGGGUGGGACUCUAUUGAAGUCAAUGAGGCUCCACACUGGGGAUGGGUUCUACCUGUGAGAAGUCAGUUGCAUGGUCGGGGCCCUAGUGUGACGCCUCAGGGUGCAUUCUGGAGCCUGCUUACCAAGAUAAUGUCACCUUUGUCUACAGUGCUGAUACAUAUACUAAUGUAAUGUUUUAUGGCUCUCAUAAGCAUGAAGCGUACAAACUCUAUGUCUAAGGUACUCUGAAAUUGCACGGACUUAAUGCCAACCACUGUAAAGUCAUGGCUACCACUGAACCCUGCUAGAGCCUGGAGCUGAUGCAUAAGGGCUCAAGUAUAUGACUUUCAUUAUAUGUCAUGGGUUUGUAAUUUUUUUUUUUUUUUGCAAAACCAUACUGUUAAAAUAAUAAUAAUUCCUGCCACUUACUGGCACAACUCUUGACCAGAAUCACAGUAGCUGUGAUGUUGCAGCAGAUCAAUGGUCCACUGACACAAAUUUUAGAAGUCUAAAAAGGGGAAUGGAAGGGGAGGUUAAUUUGAAAUUAGUCAUGUGCUGAAUGUCCCACUUAUGCUUAUUUAGCUGAGGUAAUCACAAGAAAAAAAAUAACUCUUUUAAAAAAUAAAGUUUGUAUUUUUUAGAAAACCCCCAGGGUAUUAUCUUGUAUGAACUCUGAACAUUUUGUAUUUUAACAUAAACGUAAUUAAUAAUUACACACUAUACAUAUGGAAAUACAGGUUUGAUCCUCAUAAUAAAUUAAUACAAUUUAGCUUUCUUUAAUGUGUAUGCUACAGGGUGGAUUCUAAAUUCCAGUGUAUUUUUUACAUUUAAAACAAAUGAGACUAUUUAUGAGAGUAAGGAUAUAUAUGUGUAAUACAGAAAGUAUGCAUAUUUUAUUUACUGAACACUAGUGCCUUCACACAACCUAUUUUUUGUUGACAUUUGUUUAUUUUCUCUGGGAGAAUGACAGAUCUGCAGCACAACAUAAUACCAAUCCAAAGGCCAGAGUUUCAGAGCAGACUGGAUUUCAGGUAAAUAGAAACUGAUCCCAUAGUGACAGUGAUGGCCCCACACUUCCUGCUUCAGCUUUUGAAAGACCUCCCCACCAGCUAAGUCAUUAAACCACUUCGUGUUUCCAGACACUGACAACUUUGGAAUUUAUUUUACACUGCUACCAUUCAGACUAUUUACAAGGACAGAAUGAACUGUUCUAGGCCCAGAUUCUCCGAUACACCAAAGCUCUGGUAAAUGUAGCAGAAUUGGGUAGCCAUCCAGUAGCUGGUUAUAGCUCUCUGAUCUCUGCCCAGCCCUGUCUCUGGUACAAGUUUGAGCACCAUAGGGGCAGCUCUAAUUUACCUAAGCUGACAUUGAUUCCUAAUUGACUGUCCACCAGUUGAAGAUAACUGUAGUGCAGUGAUCUUUAGGCAUAUUUCCUAGGAUGGUGUUGCAAAAGUAACCUAUGAUGGCUCUUUGCCUGCUGGGACUUACCCACAUCAAGGGAAUCCUCAGCAAGUGAGAUAAAGGGCAGUUUUCAUCUUUUUGUCCCAAUUCUCAACUGUUUUUUAUCAAAUCAGAAAUUAUGAAAUGCUUGGAAAAGAGCACAUUAGAUUUCUUAUGAAGGUAUAUUAACAAGAAAACAACAAUAAUUUACCUAAUUAAGUAUAUGCUGAAACAUGUACAAAGUUAUCUACUUGGUUAAUGAAAGUUAGUGUAGUGUCAUUGAUAGGGAGUUACUGUUAUUAAUAUACCAUAAUCUGAAAAGGUGUAUGUACUCCAAUCUUGUGCAAUAAAACAUUUGGAAAACAACAAGGCUUAUAAAAAUGUAACAUUAUUAAAAAUAUCUACAAUUUGAAAUCCUAAAUGUGAAAUGCUUGCUUUCUUGUGUAGAGGAAAUAGAGCAAAGAUACAAUAUAACAGAGAAAGCUAGAAGGACAAAGGAGAUACCAUUGACUCAUUCCAGACUGCCAAUUUAGCAGCUCAAACUUAACUUCUUUUUUACUUUUGUGACAGUAGGGAACUCAAAGCUUUUCUG